rnacentral:lncRNA from 1 species
CUGCUUUUCCGAAAUAUUAUUCCAUUCAUAAUGUAUAUACUGAAUGCAUAUAGACAAACUUAUCAAUAAUGUGUUCAUAUAUAUAUUUGUAAAAUAACAAAAGAAAGGAUUAACAUUCCAUUUGUACUGUAUCAUUUACACACCCUUUGGGAAGAAAACAAAUUAACAUCAUUUGCAAAUAAAAUAAAUUGUUGUCUAUAGUUCUGGGCAAAUAAUAAUUAGCUUGUCAACUUGAAUUCUCCAAAAUCUACAUCUUCACUUGUAAACUGAAGUCUUCAAGACCUAUGACAAGUAUGAAAUGAAUUCACUUCAGAAAAACUAUAAUAAUCAACCAGAAAGUUUGAGUAACUAAUUGCGAGACCUACAUUAUUUCAUAAACUAAUUACAAUAUAACAAUACUUUGGUCAUAUAAGAAACUUGCAUUAUGAAAUAAAACACAAAAUAGCCAUCUCGGCAACUAAAACACUGUAAGAGACUCAAAAAGUGCAUUUGUUUUAUCAAUGACAAGGAGAACUACAUCUUAUUAUAUACAAAUAGGUUCCAUAGGCUUAGAGGGAGACAAACAGAUAAUUAUUUACCAUAUUACACCUCAAGUUGUAAGUGCCACGCAACCUAAGAAACAAAGAUUAAGUUCAACAUUAGCAUUAAUGAGAAUCAUCCAAAGUCCAUAAUAUAGCGUUAAUGAGAAUCAGCCCUCAUUAUUUAAUACAUAUAAAGAUAGGAUGCAAAUUAUAAGAUCGAAUAACAUUAUGUUAUAUAAACUACUAACAAACAAAUUGCACUUUUAAAGUACAUCUUCCUUUAGAGAAUAUCUGGCACAUAAAUGUUUAAGAAAAAAAUCAAAAUCAGUGCCUUAUAACUUUUCCCAUUAUCAUAAUCAGAUUUUGGGUUCUGCUAUAAACAAGAAAUUGUGAGGGGUUUAUGUUCUUAUCAGUUCAAUGUAGAAAAUUUCCGGAUCACGUAACACAGAUCAGGGUAAAUCUACUGAUGCAAAAAUAAAAAAUAAACUAUUGACAAUGAUCCUAUACUUGAACCUAAAACUUGUUGUCCUUGCAAUUAGCCUUUAACUUGUGAGAAAAUAUUUAGCAAUUCCUUAAUGAUCAAUGCACACACACAUAGAUAUUUUUUUUGUAAAAGAAACAUAAUUUUUACAAGAAUUUGUGAAAGAAAUUUCUGGACCUGCUGUCUAACUCUCUCAAGUUUCAGCUCAAGUUGUGCUAACUUCAAAUGGCAUUGUUUUCAACUACUGAACUUACUCCUAGAAAGAGAAGGGAAGAGAAUCAAGAAAAGGAAUUUAUCUUCCAUAUAAUUGAAUUUUAAAAAGCAAAAUUUCUUGUACCUUUUUCCGCAUACGGCUUUCACACAGUGAGCUUUGAUAUUGCUGCUAAACACAAAAGUGAGAGAUAAAGAGGAAAUGGCUUUGGGUAUGCACGCCUUGUCGGGAAUACUCUAUUUGUUGAUAAUCCCAUAUCAGAGGGUAUAAAUUGUUCAUAAAAGUAAAAAGAGUACAUAACCAGAUGAGUGUUUGAGAUAUACUACAUGAAACGUUGCAGUGUUACAACAAAAAUAAAAUCAUAUUUGAGAACCUAAGAAAUGUAUCCCAAAUUGUUAUAAAAUUAUAUCAUGAAGAUACAUGCGAACUUCAGAGUGACGUCUGACACGGAGAUGCAGAGAAUAGAAGACUAAAGUUUCAACUAAAUGGUUAUAACAUGAUAUAGAGUGUAAGGUUGAGUUUCAGUCCAAAAGUAAAUUGUACCUGCAUGAGUAGCAAAAACAAACUGAGAACCAGCAACGAAAUCAAUAAAAGUGGAUAAAAGAGAAUAAGGAAAAAUUAAAAAUUGAUUCAGAUUGUUAGAAGAAAGUCUAUCAUUUCAAGAGUGCAACAUCCCUCACAAAUGAACCUCCACCUUCAUCAAUAGAUAACCUUAACAACCGUUGCACCAAGAUCAAAUAUCUUCAUAAAAUCUUAUAGAACUACAAGUACAACACUGAUUCACUUAUUCAAGCAACCUCCUUGUGGAGAAACCAGAAACACAUCUCCUUCAAGGUGUUCAACUUUAAUACCACGUUUCCCUAACAUUUCAAUAUUUUCUUUAAAACAUGUCUUAGAACCAUACAACAACAUAUUUAAAAUUACCAAUUUCAAUCUAUCAUUUUCACAAAGGCUUUGCGCGGAUGAAUCUUUACUUUUUUCUGUAACUUCAAUCCAUCUACUAGAGCACUAGCAGCAAACAGUUUUUUCACCAGUUGAAAUAGCCAUUGUCUAAUAAAUUCACAAGUUUAAUUUCUUUUAGCAAACAUAACUAUCACUCGUAUUUAAAAGAAGCUACAUGAACCUGAUAAUCACCGUAGACUAGCAAGCUCAGUUUAGCACCUCACCUAAUGUCAAUUGGUAACAAAGUACAAUAAUCAUGUUAAUUAAAGCUUCCUUUUAGUACGUAAAGGAGUGUUUAGUAGCAAUAUUUGACAUGGGUAUAAUAAUAUUAAGAAGCUCACUAUAAAAUAAACACCCAAUUUUAGCAAAAAUGUGGAUAACAUGUAUCCAUCAACAAAAUGAAGAGCAACAAUGAAAAUACAUACCAAAAAUCACUCAUUGCCCCCAUAAAUGAAAUGAAUCAAAACCCACAAGCAUUAACAACAAAAUCCAGCAAGUCUAAAAUAGUGAGUGGAAGAAAGGAACUCUAACCGAUGAUUGGAACACUUCAUCUCUUAAGCAAGUCGUAAAGAUAAUCAAAUCUUGCAUUCAAGAAACAAAAUUGUCAGCACACACAUAUACAAGCAUAGCUGAAGCAGAUAAAGAGAAUAGAAUUAUGGGAAUCNAAACUUACGAAUUUCAAGCUAAUACUCCUGGAAGCACCUCGGACCACAAUGAAACAACUCCUUCCCAUCUCACUGCGGAAGCUGAAAUGAAUAACACGUGAGCUCUUCUUCACAAAACGGCUCAGAGAUAUGGCCUCGCCAUAAAAAUAACUUGUUGAAUCACAAUAUGCCAACUCAAUCGCACAGAUCCGACUUCAGUUGGUGAUGGAAAAAAUUAUCCAAAAUAACUUAGCAAAAUUGAAUAAUCUGUAGAAUAGUCGUGAACAGAUUGAUGAUGGAAAUCGUCAUUUUGAACAAUAAAAUCAAGAACAGAUUUAGAUGAAAUACUAGAACUGAUUGUCAAAGUGAUGAGGGUUUGGGGAUUUUGAGAGAAACGUUGAGAGACGGGGAGUAAACCCUAGUUCCUAAAUGACGACUUGGGGAAUGUUUUUAAGUGUUUCUAUUUCUUUAUUUCUUUUUCUAGGUUUCUAUCUCUUUAUAAUUAUAAAAAUAUUAAAAUUUUAGAAGAAAAUUUUGGGCGGCACCUCAAGUCUCGCACUCCCGCUCUGUUAUGCAUAUUAGGGACGAGAGUUUUAUAAUAAUAGGGAUGAGAUUCAGUCCCGUCAUUAUUUAAUUUAGAAUUAGGUACCAAAAAUAAAACUAGUCAUUAUAAGUAUACUUUUAGCGACUAGAUUUCAAUCCCGCCGCUAAAUAUUGGUCACUAAUGAGCCUUUUUCUUGUAGUAGUGUGUUUUAAUAACUACAAGUAUUUAGAUAAAACUCUAUGGAGUGCAGGAAUCAGGAUGACAAACCGAAAUAAGUACAGGGUCUACUAGGCUAUUCUGCCCCAAAAGAAAUGUGAAAUAAUGUAUACCUUAACCGUGCUUAGAAGACUCGUUUGGUUUAAGUUAUUCAGCUUUCAAAGCAAACUUUUAUUUUUGAAAAAACUGGACCCAAAUUGCAUGUGUUGCUUAUCUUUACCAAAAAAAGAAUUCAGCUGUUAAGUUUGCCUAAGCGAUUCGAUCGAAAACCUUUUCCAAAUCUUUUUCGUUUAACUUGAUUUGGUUCUGCAAAUGCCUUUAACUGAAAAAGUUGUUAGACAAACAAGUGGACUAAAGAGACCUUUAUUGAUAAAAAGUUGAUAUAUACCCAAAUUUGGAGAUUAUUAACCUUAUAAAAUGAAAGAUUAUCUUAACCAUGUUUACCUAUACCCUACGAGAUUUUGAUUAUCGUAAGAUCGUUGAUUCUAAACAACCAGAGCAAAGAACAAAGCACAUAAUAUCAGUGUUAGUUUUGCAAUUCAAUAUAUACAGAAGUGGGCUAAGAAUAACGGUAAUAUAAAAUAGAGUGGAUAUCUAGACUCUAUGAUAGGAUGACAAGUAUUCAGGCCCAUUUCAAAAUAAUAAACGUCAGAGUUUAGCAACAGUGACGCUAUAAGGAGAGUAGGCAGCUUAGCUCAGUGAUCUUGGGUCAGAGUUCACAAUGAACUUCGCUGGCCCAGUGUAUUCAUGCAAAAGAAGAAGAAAGACUUAAUUAGUACUUGCAUUUAAGAAGUAAAAGCAGAAACAUAAAAAAGUACACAAUUAUAACCUAAAGUAAACAAAGCAAGUUAAGUUUGUUUGUGAUAACCCUCUAGAUGUUAAUCAAAGCCAAUAACUAUUCGCUUUCAAAUAACAAACAUGUCUUUUACACUUAGUAAGUCUAAAUUAUCAGGAACUAGAACUACGGGAAACUAAGCUAGCUUCAGGAGAAUAGUUCAUGAUUAAACUUAAUUGGAUAUCAAACAGCCUAGGCUAAGUAUUCUUAGACUUAAAACUAACUUCACAAAGGUCAUAUUAACAGAGAACAACAAGAGCUAUCAAACAAGGUAAGAUGAUCAGCAAAAACGCAUAAGCAUGGCAACUAUAACAAGGCAGUAUAUGGUAAGAAAGAAUGGCAUUUUGCAGUUAAAGCUAACAAACAAUCUAGAUCAAUAGUGUUUUAACUAACACGCAAGGCAGUGUAAAAUUCACCAGGUUAUCAUGACCUUAUACUAGUAAAUCUUAUAAACAUAGUAUCCACAACAAUAUAACAGUCUCAUAGUGACAAGAAGUACCAUCUUACAGCUAAUAUUAACAAGUAAGCAAAUGACUUCAAAUUAAAAGAGGUCUACCCAAACACAGCAAGAUCAAUAUUAAAGCUAUGAAAUAUAAUCAUGCUAAGUAAACCAAUCUCACAACAUGCCUCAUACUCAUAUUCAUGCUAACAAGUUAAGAAAAGCAUGACUGUCAAUAUAAGACUCAACACACAUUAUACUAAUCAAGCAUAAUAACUAUACAUAAGAAGCUAUAAACAAAAUUCAAUCAUUGAAACGAAUUGAAUGAAGGUGCACUGACCUUCCUUAGGGUAGAAAACUAGGUUCUUCACUUUAGCCGUUGAGAAUUAAUACCCGCAGUCAGCUUAAGAACAGAUAACCUCGACUAGAAUUGAAAGAGAGAAAAAGAAGAAAUGAUUUUGAGUAAUAGAUAAAGAUUUUUAUACUUUAGUAUAGUUGCAUUUUCUUCUACUUGUUCAUUGUUAGGUGAAGGCAUUAAAGCCGGUAUUUACAGCCCAAAGAUUGGGGCUUAGAGUUUGAGAUUUGAAUUCUCUCAGAUUCAAAAAUUAUAAAGGAGAAAGAACAAUAAUGAACACUGACGAAAACUAAUGACGGAAUCAAAGGAAAAAGAUGAUAAAAAAAUCUGAGGGGAAAAUGGGUGAAGAUAUACCCUCUAAAAGUGAUGGAGAAAGGGACGUUUGAAGCCUUGGACCUCUGGACAAAUCCAUUACCCAUAGGUCCAUGCAUAUGACCUCUAGGUCAUCAAACGUCACGAUGCAACGAACCAAAAUCCCAACCUGUCGAGAUGACACCUAACACACUACCUAUACAAGCCGACAAUCACAUAAUAACUAAACAUUUGAAUAGAACAUGCUUUAAUAAGCUCAACAGUAGAAAAUCUCAUAAACAUCUAAUAAAAAUAACUGAAAUGCUAGUACAACCAUCCCAAAACCUGGUGUCAACGAGUACAUAAUCACUACUAAUUAUUAGCAUAAACCAAAACUCUAGUACAACUGUCUGAGAAAUAGAACAAUACAUAAGAUAAUAAAAGGAAAGAGAGCCAAGGUCUGCGGACAUCAUAGAAGCUACCUUGAAGUCUCAAAGCAAGUACGGCAACGAUUUAGCAAUCACCGCGUCCAGAUGUACCUGGAUCUGCACACGAAGUGCAGAAUGUAGUAUGAGUACAACCAACCCAAUAUACCUAGUAUGUAACAUGAUUAAUCUUGGGCUGAAAGCAAUGACGAGCUCAGAAGGAUACAGUCAUAACCAAUAUAAUGACAACACAUGUAAGAUAAUGACAAUGACAGUAAAGAACUCAGAGAAAGUUUCAUAUUCAGCUCGUUCGUGGUACAUAAAUUUAGACAUGUUUGCAAGUUCACAAUUUAAGACCAACAAUUAUAAUAACAUGUCAAAUAUAGCUAGCAUAAGGAAUGGUACAUCUCUAUGUCUACAUGUCAAAUAUGCGUGUCAAAUGUAAGGCAUCACCAUGAUAUUCUCAUGUACUCACACUCUCAGAGUACUUAAUUUGUCUAUCUCAAUGCCCACCCAUCACUCAGCAUUGUACGGGUGCCUGGCAUCAAUGCCCCUCACCAAAGCACGUGUAUAUAUCAUUUUGCAUGCGCUCACUAUUGAUGUGUCAGACUCCGGAGGGGCUGAUCCUGCCCAAGCGCUAAUAUAAAGCCUAUAAGGCAUGCUGUGGCUUACAAUCCGAUCCACAAUAAUCAAUAAGCCUAUAAGGCAUGUUGCGUCGUACAGCCAGAUCGACAAUAAUACACACAAUCCGGCUCUCAAGCCCAUCUAAGUCAUCAAUCUCUCAAGUCUCAAGGUCUCAGAAUCUCAUACCACUCAGUCCAAACAAUAAUAACAUGUGAUGUAACAACGAAUGAUAACAGAUACUGAGAUAUAAUAUGCAAAUAAAAAAACAUGACUGAGUACAUAAUUGCAGUUAAAGCAGAUAACUCAAAACAGUAAACAUAACCUUAUUAGGUCUUAACCAAAUAAGCGCAUAGCCUAAACAUGAUUUCUAACAUGAAUCACAGUCCAAUUACUCUAACAAGUAAGAAUUUCAUGGGUGGAAUAAGAUUUGAUAACAACACGGUACACAAGAAACAACCGGUUCAUAAUUACCACGGUGCACGCUCACUCGCCCGUCACCUAGCAUGUGCGUCAACCCAACACAACACAAAUAACACAUUUUCCAGGGAUAGAUACCCUCAAUACCAAGUAUAGAAAUGUUACUUACCUCAAAGUGCGCAACUCACUACUCCAACAAGCCCUUGCCUCACGAAUCAACCCUUGAACGACUCGAAUCUAGUUACAAACAACUUAAUAUAAUCAAUAGAAGCUAUUGGAAUCGAUCCCAUACGAUAAUGCUAAGAUCUUUAACUAAAUUCAAAAAUUCAACCUCUGGCCCAUGCCUCAGAACCCGAUAAAAUUCACAAAAUCCGAACACCCUUUCAAUUACGAGUCCAACCAUACCAAAAUUAUCCAAUUCAAACCACAAAUCGACUCUCAAAUCCUCAAAUCAUAUUCUCCAGUACAUAGACAAAAAAUCCGCAAAAUUUCAUCUCAAACACACAUAAUCUAGGUGUAAAAAUCAAUGGGUAUUCAAUAUUUAUGGACAAAAAUGAUCAAAAGUCACUUACCUCUUGAAUUAUAGUGAAAUCCCUCUCAAAAGUUGUCCCUAACUGAGCUCCACAAGUCCAAAAUGAGUGGAAAACUCAAAACCCUUCGAAAUAUAGUUUCUGCUAGUGAAAUCGCAUCUACGAUCCAACUUAUGCUUCUCUAGAACUGCAUCUGCUGUAAACUUUCCGCACCUACGGUAAGCACUUAAGCUCCUGACCUCAUGCACCUGUGGUCCACCUUAUCGCACCUACGGGACCGCUUCUGCAGUCCAACCUUCACUCUUGCGCUUUCGCACAUAUGGAGACAAUCCACUUCUAAGACUCCAGCUCUCUUUCCCAAAAUCUGCUUAUGCGCCAGCUUCUUCGCACCUGCGGGCUCGCAGAUGUGGAAAGAGCCUCACAUCUACGGCCUCUUCCAAGACCAGCCAACUUUGUACCUGCGACGUGCCUAUCACUUCUGCGACUUCGCACAUGCGGCCCCAAUCUCGCAGGUGCGAUCACACCAGUCAUCAGAAAACUCAGCCAAGAUCCUAAGUUAAAAACAAUUCUGAAAUCAGUCUGAAUCUCUCCCGAGGCCCCCAGGACCCUAUCAAACAUACGAACAUAUCCUAAAAUAUGAUACAAACUUAGUCAUAGCCUCAAAUCACAUCAAAUAAUAUCAAAAUUAUGAAUCGCACCCCAAUUCAAACCUAAUGAAACUAAUGAACUUCCAACUUCUAAAAUCAUUGCCGAAUUAUAUCAAACCAACUCCGAUUGACCCCAAAAUUUGCACACAAGUCAUAAAUGACACAACGGACUUAUUCUAACUCUCGAAACUAAAAUUCGAGCCCGUUAUCAACAAAGUCAACUCUCGGUCAAACCUAUCAGCCUUCCAAACCUUCAACUUUCCUACUUUAGCCAAUUCAAGACAAAGCUACCUAUGGACCUCUAAAUCAAUAUCCAGACAAACUCCUAAGUCCAAAAUCACCAUACAAAGCUAUCGGGACCAUCAAAACUCCAUUCCAGAUUUGUCUACACAAAAGUCAAACUCCGGUCAACUCUUUCAACUAAAGCUUCUAACAUUGGGACUAAGUAUCCCAAUUCACUUCGAAAUAUCCCUGGAACCAAACCAACCACCCCGUCAAUUCACAUAACCACAAAUGAACAUAGAAGAAAUGAUAAAUGGGGGAACGAGGCUACAAUACUCAAAAUGAACGACCGAGUCAUUACAUUCUACCCUUCUUAAACAAAUGUUCGUCCUCAAACGGGUCUAGAAUCAUACCUAGAGUCUCAAAUAGGUGUGGAUAUCUGCUCCGCAUCUCCCGCUCGGUCUCCUAAGUAGCCUCCUCGACAUGCUGGCUUCUCCACUGAACUUCUAUUGAAGCUAUAUUCUUUGAUCUCUACUUUCGAACCUGCCGAUCUAAAAUGGCCACCAGCUCCACAUCAUAAGUCAAAUAUCAAUCAAACUGAACCGUGCUGAAGUCCAAUACAUGGGACGGGUCACCAUAAUACUUCUGGAGUAAAGAAAUAUGAAACACUGAGUGGACACCCGAUAGACUAGGUGGCAAUGCAAGCUUGUAGGUCACCUCUCCAAUUCUAUCAAGCACCUCAAAAGGGCCAACAUACCGAGGGCUCAACUUGCCCUUCUUCCCAAACCUCAUCACACCCUUCAUGGGCGAUACUCUGAGCAAUACCUUCUCUCCCACCAUAUAGGUAACAUCACGAACCUUCCAAUCAUUAUAGCUCUUUUAUCUAGAUUGUGCUGCACGAAAAUGAUCCUGAAUCAACUUGACUUUCUCCAAGGCCUCCCGAACCAAAUCAGUACCCAACAACCUAGCCUCUCCCGGCUGAAACCAACCAACUGGAGAACGACACUGCUUCCCAUAUAAGGCCUCAUAGGGAGCCAUCUGAAUACUCGAUUGGUAGCUCUUGUUGUAGGCAAACUUUGCAAGCGGUUGAAACAGAUCCUAAGAACCCCCAAAAUCCAUAACACAAGCGCGUAGCAUAUCCGCCAAGAUCUGAAUAGUGCACUCAGACUAUCCGACCAUCUGGGGGUGGAAUGAUGUACUAAACUCGACACGUAUGCCCAACUCUCGCUGCAUUGCUCUCCAAAACUGCUAUGCAAACUGCGUGCCAUAAUCAGAAAUAAUGGUCACCAGCACACCAUGAAGAUGAACAAUCUCGCGGAUAUAGAUCUCAACCAUCCUCUUUGAAGAAUAGGUAGUCACAACGAGAAUGAAAUGUGCAGAUUUAGUCAACCGGUCCACAAUUACCCAAACUGCAUCAAAUUUCUUCAAAGUUCAUGGGAGCCUAACAACGAAGUCCAUGGUAACACCCUCCCAUUUCCACUUGGGAAUCUCAAGUCUCUGAAGGAAAUCGCACAGCCUCUGAUGCUCGUACAUCACCUGCUGACAGUUCAUGAAUCGAGCCACAUACUCCACUAUAUAUUUCUUCAUGCUUCUCCAUAAUAGUGUUGCGUCAAAUCCUGAUACAUCUUAGCGGCACCCGGAUGAUUGGAAUACCGCAAACUAUGGGCCUCCUCAAGAAUCAACUCAUCAACCCAUCCACGUUGGGCACACAAAUUUGACCCUGCAUCCGCAACACCCCAUCAUCUCCAAUAGAAACCUCCUUGGUAUCACUGUGCUGCAUCGUGUCCUUAAGUACAAGCAAAUGGGGGUUGUCAUACUGGCGCUCCCUGAUGGUUUCAUAUAAAGAAGACCGAGAAACCACGCAAGCUAGAACCCGACUAGUCUCUGAAACAACUAACCUCACGAACUGAUUGGCUAAGGUCUGAACAUCUAAUGCUAGCGGUCUCUCACCAACUGGAAUAUAUGCAAGACUACUCAUACUCACCACCUUUCUGCUCAGGCAUCAUCCACCAUGUUGGCCUUCCCGAAUGAUACAAAUUGUGAUAUCAUAGUUUUUAACAUCUCUAACCAUAUCCACUGCCUCAAAUUUAGAUCCUUCUACUUAAACAAGUGUUGUAGACUCCGAUUAUCUGUAAAUACCUCAAAAAACACACCAUAGAGAUAAUGCCGCCAAACCUUCAAUGCAAGAACAAUGGCUGCCAACCCUAAAUCAUGAAUGGGUAUUUCUUCUAAUGGGGCUUCAACUGGCAUGAAGCAUAAGCAAUCACCCUACCCUCCUGCAUCAAGACACACCAAAUACCAAUUCGAGAAGCAUCACAAUAAACUAUAUAUAAACUCGAUGCUGAAGGUAAAACUAGAACGGGAGUUGUGGUAAAGGUAGUCUUGAGCUUCUGAAAGCUCUCCUUACACUCAUCAGACCACCUAAAUGGAG